rnacentral:lncRNA from 1 species
AUUGGUCAUUAUAAGAAGUGCAUUAUAGUUAUUGUGUUAUGCCCACAAUGCACAAUCAUAUAAUGCAUUACAUGACAAUUGGAUUUCUGAUUGCAAUGUAGGAAGGUGCAGAGUUUCGUUAUGCCAAAAUCAGUAAAAGAAAGUAAAACCUAAAAUCGUCGAAGUUCAAUAUGCACCAUAUAAGCCAUGUCAAAUAUAUAAGUUAUGUUAUUUCACCUAUCGUAUCUGUGCACUGUUGGUUUGUCCAUAUCCUUGGAUCAGUCUCACACUCCAGACAGCUGGCCUAUAUCCGAGCCUUUGUUAUUAACAAACAAGAUUUCAAAGCCUAUUAUCUAUGUGUUGAUUCAUGAAUGCCAUUUGGUUUGCCCUCAAUGCUGUCCCAUUCUUAGAAGUCUCUACCCUUGGAAGAAAAGAAAACUUGCAUCUCUGGACACAAACAGAGUCACCGAGAGUCAACUGCCUUCAGGCCCUCGCUGUCAACAGAGCUGA